GCACUGCUGAGGAGGAGUCCCAUAAUAGGACGAAACGGCCGUCCAAUGC
rfam:Schistosoma mansoni, Puerto Rico, WGS project CABG01000000 data, contig: 0198